AAUGAACGCUGGCGGCGCGCCUAAUACAUGCAAGUCGAGCGAGAAGACGUAGCAAUACGUUUGUAAAGCGGCGAACGGGUGAGGAAUACAUGGGUAACCUACCCUCGAGUGGGGAAUAACUAGCCGAAAGGUUAGCUAAUACCGCGUACGCUUCCUGGACUUCGGUUCAGGGAGGAAAGCGAUGCCGAGGGUAUCGCGCUCUUGGAUGGGCUCAUGUCCUAUCAGCUUGUUGGGAGGUAACGGCUCACCAAGGCUUCGACGGGUAGCUGGUCUGAGAGGACGAUCAGCCACACUGGCACUGCGACACGGGCCAGACUCCUACGGGAGGCAGCAGUAAGGAAUAUUGCGCAAUGGGCGAAAGCCUGACGCAGCGACGCCGCGUGGGGGA
rnacentral:rRNA from 1 species